GCCUCAGCCCCUUAAUUAUAAAACCAUCCUCGCGCACGACUUUUCCCCCAAAAAAUGUUAGGAUUCUGAAAUUUGGGGAAAAGGCUGGUCGAUUUCGAGUUAUAGCUUUCGAUUCAGAUUCAAUCGAUGAAGAUUUGAUAGGCAAAGUCACGAUUUGAAAGGGAAUCAUCAAUUUCAUGUAGGAAUUCAUCCAUUUUUAGGUUUGCAGAUGUCUACUUCAUCUUCUCAUAGAUUGAGGUGCCCUUUAUAUGGAGCUAAAAUGAAAUUACUUCUAUCAACUACAGAACAACAUUACAACAAAUAUUUCUAGAAGUGUACAAGGAAAUAUGCAAGGCAUGGUUUUGAAUCAGUUUUAUUUUAUGAUAUGGAUAUUGUGGUUAUGCAAAGUGGUUGUAUGAUGUAGGGAAGUGUUGGAUGCCAAGAUUUUGUAUGGUGCGAUGAUGUUGACAACACAAAAGGGAGGGAAGAUAUCAUCUUUAGAGACUUGCAAUGGAUGGAAAACAAUGGUAGCAAGGACAUGGUGUUUCAAUCUGUGCAGCUACAAGUUGGAGAUUUUUGAAUAUGUUGAAAGGAAUAAAAGAGAUGUUGUUGAUCAUUUGUAUCUUGAUUGCUGUCAAUGUGGUUUUCAAUUUAGUUAAAAAAAUGAGAUGCUUAGAUGGUGCUUCAAUUUGGGUAAAGGCAUGUUUUGGUUGUAACAUUCUGCUCAAACGUUUUGGUUGUAACAUUGUGAUCAAAAUUUAGGGAAAGACAUGUCUCAGAGGUUGUAAAUUUCUAGUCAUGAAAUGAAAACAUUCAGCUCUUGUUUUGGUUGUUA